UUGUAUGUGUCGGUCUUUUUUCAGGAACUUCCCUAGAAGAUUGCUCUUGCUCAGAAUGAUUUUUCCAAGGAUCUACUUGAGCUCCUCGAGCACAAUGAAAACAUCAGCUGGUGCUUUCAGAUGGGUCAUUCAUUUAUGUGGUUCUUUCGGCUCUAAUUAAGAAACACAGCAGGGUGUGGUGGAGAAAAUCUAUAAUCCCAGCAUUCGGGAGGCUAAGGCAGGAGAAUCGCUGUGAGUUCGAGACCAGCCCGGGCUACAUAGUGAGUUCCAGGUCAGUCUCAACUACAUAGUGAGACUCCGUCUCAAAAAAAAAAAAACAAAAAAAAAACAAAAAACAAAAACAAAAACAAAACAAAACAAAAUCAUAGACUUAAUAAAUAUACCAACCAGGG
rnacentral:lncRNA from 1 species